rnacentral:ncRNA from 1 species
AUGACAUCCUACCAGGUGUCAUAGGUUGUAACUGCUGUAACUGCCCAUGUGAAACCUAUAUAUGGUGUUGCUGGAUAUUGUAAAAGGCACAGAGUGUUGUAUGACUUGUACAAUUCAUGUGACAUUGUCCUUUUUUAUUCUGAGAGAUAAUAAAAGGUUGAGAACUUAUUUCCUGUAAAUCUGUUUGAGUACUUUACAUUUCUGCAGCCUUAGUCAAUUUCACUUAGACUAUAUAGUGUGUGUUGUGGCUGAAGUUGUGUAGUGUGCUACGACUGCCAAGAAGUGGUGUUCUGAAAUAGAAAUUUCCCCUAUCUCACCUACCAUGGUGGUGACGGGUUACGGAGAAUUAGGGUUCGAUUUUGGAGAGGAAACUCGAGAAAUGGCUACCAUAUCCAAGGAAGGAAGUAGGCGCUCAAAUUACCCAAUCUUGACACGGGGAGGUAGUACUAAAUAACAAUACCGGGCUAACUAAGUUUGGUAAUUGGAAUGAGUACAAUUUAAAUCCCUCAAUGAGGAUCCAUUGAAGGGCAAGUCUGGUGCCAGCAGCCGCAGUAAUUGCAACUACAAUAGCGUAUAUUUAAAAUGUUGCAGUUAAAAAGCUCAUAGUUGAACUUUGGAAUGGGCCGUCCAGUCCACCUAUGGUGUGCACCGGUCGUAUCAUCCCUUCUGUUGGUGAUGCACUCCUGGCCUUCACUGUCUGGGUCGUGCUUCCGGCGCUGUUACUUUGAAGAAAUUGAAAUGCUCAAAGCAAACCUACUGUCACGGGCCUACUUUUAGACGCAUGCGAGUACCUUAAAACUCUCAAAAGCUAUGCUAAACUCAGUCCUUACCCUCCC